CAAAGACAGGUGACACAGAUCAGGGUGUGACAAUUACUUCUUUCAUGACCAGAGUUUAUUCCACUUCAUUCCUCACCUUUACUAAUGCAUGAACCAAGAUUGAUCUACCUUUAAGGAAUCCACUUUGACGUUGACUCAAUAAACCCCCUUGUUCCAGGAAAUAGGACAGUCUGUUGACAAUCAUCUUUUCCAUCAGUUUAUAUGGGUUAGAGGUCAGUGCCAUCGGUCUAUAACUACCAGCACAUGAAGGAUACUUCCCAGGCGUUACAAAAGUUAAUAGAACUGCAAGUUUCCAUCCAGAAUGUAUAAAUAACCCUUUCACUCCAGAUCUUAUUAAAUAAUCCCAGGUGAAUAUUUAUGACCUCAUCAGGAGGAUGCUCAACAUUAGAUAAGACAAUUUAUCAUGACCCAGGGCUGUAUAUCCACAGCUAAUUAGGGCUAAUUGCAUCUCAGGCAAUGUAAAAUCAGCAUCCAAGGAAGAGUCAACAAUAUCAAUUUUCUUAUGCACGUUAGUAUGAGCAUUUAAAAUCUCACGCUUGCAUUUCUUGUACACUUCGUUCAAUGUAACCCCACUAUGUAUACUGAACAAAAAUAUAAAUGCAACAUGCAACAAUUUGAUAGAUUUUACUGAGCUACAGUUCAUACCAUCAACCAAAACCGGAAAUAGAGUCCUGCUUCUUCCACUUGUACCAAACAUCUCCCAGUCCAGUACCCCUGCCUAUUGUAGAACAGAACUGUCUCCAUGCAUUUCUCUUGGCAGACUUAACGACCCUACACACCAAAGCUCUCUUCCUUUGGAAAUUAAGUAGAAUUUCAGGAGGCAAAGUCCCAAAGUAUCCUGAUAUUUCAUCAAACAUCGCUACAGAUGGUUGUCAACAAGGAUUGUAGAAAUGUAACAGCUUAAUAUUACCACCUGUACGGUAGAUUUCAACCAUCACACAUUCAUAUUCAGGUGGAACAGAUAUUUUACGAUAUGAAAAACCUUCCUUUAUGAACGUAGCGCAUCCUCCACCCUGACCAGUUGUUCUAUCAGAUCUGCGUGAACAAUAACCAGGAAUAGUAUAAUCAAGAUGUGAUCUAAGCCACGUUUCUUGAACACAUAUCACAUCAGGUUUCAUCUCUAAAUCAAUUAAACAUUUCUUAAACUCYUGACCAUUGACAAUAAGGCUUCAAGCAUUCCAUUGAAGAAUGAUAAAAACCAUAAUACAACUACACUGUAAGACUUUUCUGUAAUUUCAACAGUAAAACACUGUAGAAGGCACAGUAAAUACCUUAAAUGUGUUAAACAGCAUUAAUGCUGUAGAUUGCACUGCAUUAUGGGUAAAAUGCUGAAAAAUACUGUUAUUAACUGUAAUUGUAAGCCUCCUGUAAAAAGUACUCUAACUUACUGUAUUUCUUUACAGUAGUACCCGAACAGUGCUGUAGUGGGCGGCGCCAAACGGUCUGUGGUGUGUGAGUGUGAGAGAGAAAGCGAGUUAUAUCUCAUAGUUGAAACCAAGACUGUUCUCAGGGCAGGUCUGCCGGUUUGACUAGCAGAAGUUACUUUUCUUAGCAGGUUACGAUAAUUAACGCAGCAGGUUAGGAUAAUUAGGUAAAGGUAAAAUGCUAACAAUGUUCCCGACGCGACUCGAAUCUAUGCACAACCAUGCCUGCCCUGAGAAGAGACUUGAUUUCCACUAAUGCGAUGCUCCGGGCCAAACGGUCUGUGAAGGAAGACUCAUGAGGAAAUUAGCUUUCUGUUCUACUCGAGCUAUUUUAUUUUGUAUUUUCGUGGAAAAGUCGUCUAAAUAUUUUUUGGAGCAGCUGCUAGAUUGUGUGGUUAGCUUGCUAGCAGCCAUUAUCCAGGGAGAUGGUCGUGGCAUUUUCCCGCUGUAGGCAUGGAGGGUCUUCAAGAUGCAAUUAAACAUCAAUUGCCCGAGUUGGAGACMGAGAUGGUGAGAUCUUUGUCGGAGCAUCUGAGGGCAGAUGUUGGAGUGGAGAAUAUUAACAACCUUGAAUAUGUUCAGCCGGAGGACAUAAAAUACUGUUUGAUGCCAAUAUAGUGCCUGGAAUUGCUUCAGUCCUUCAACCAAAGAGAAAAUGAAGAAUGGAUUGGAUCUGUAACAAUGGAUAGUUUACUUAUCCUCCUCCAAGCAUCAGUGACCUCCAUGAACAGUGGCCUUUCCUUUUCACCAAGUUAUGACUAUGCGACCACUUCAAUACCCUCACUGGCAUCGUGAUUGACAGUCGCCUGACUCAAGCUCUCCUGAACAAGGGUAAGAGAACUGUCAACUUUUUUAAACGCCAAAAGACCAAGUUGAGAAGAGGGAUCCAGUGCCUGCUGAAUGAAAUCGACGGUUACAUCAAAGGCAAUGACAAUCUAACAGCCACUGCUGCCAUUCUUUUGUUGAUGAACGAGUCUCUGUUCCUCUUGGCAGAUGUCACUGCAACUCGGGUUGAUGUCGAGGCGCAAAUUCCUUUGCCAGACACACCAAGGCUAUCAUGCUUGGAAAUACUCUAUUGGGUUCCUCAAAAUGGAUGGUGUCGAUUGAGGGGAGAGUGGUCUGUGUUAUGGACAGUGAGUCCAACUUUCCUGCUGCCCUCUGUG